UCAGCAGCCGCGGUAAUACGGAGGAUGCGAGCGUUAUCCGGAAUUAUUGGGUUUAAAGGGUGCGUAGGCGGAAUGGUAAGUCAGCGGUGAAAUACUGCAGCUCAACUGUAGUUGUGCCGUUGAUACUGUCCUUCUUGAGUAUAGAUGAGGUAGGCGGAAUGAGUAGUGUAGCGGUGAAAUGCAUAGAUAUUACUCAGAACACCGAUUGCGAAGGCAGCUUACUAAACUAUAACUGACGCUGAAGCACGAAAGCGUGGGUAUCAAACAGGAUUAGAUACCCUGGUAGUCCACGCUGUAAACGAUGAUUAMVDGUUGUUUGGUCGAAVGAGAUCAAGGGACUGCGCG
rnacentral:rRNA from 1 species